AUGCUCACUUUGGCAGCACAUAUGCCAAAAUUGGAACAAUACAGAGAAGAUCAGCCUGGCCCCUGAACAAGGAUGACAACAUAUAAAAAAGAAAAAGAAAUGCAC
ensembl:snRNA U6 U6 spliceosomal RNA